CUAAAAAGAAAAUAUAAAAUUUAUUUUUUAAAAUUUCAUCAAAAAACAUAUCCUUUAGGCCUAAGGUUUCGUUUGUCGCUUCAUACAUUAAAAUAUAUAUUUUUUAAUCAUUAUUAAUUUUUUUCACGAUUAAUGUUCUUAAUUUUUUUCUUGUCUUGUUAAAGUUUUGUAAUUAACUUAAAUUGUAUAACAUUUUGAAUUGUCAUUUCAUUUUUUUUUAAUGUUUUAUGCUUCCAAUAUAGAAUGAUUGGCAAGGGAAAAUAUUGCAAAGCAUUUGACGCAGAAACUGCUAUUGGCAUCCUCUCAAGUGGUUGAAUCCAAGUAAGGCUGGUGAGCAGCCCAAGCUUCAGCUGGCUGUCUCCAGAUCAAAGGGGAAAUAGAAAUAAUAAAAUUAGUUUUCUAUAAUCCCUUGGGAUUAUUUUAUCUUUUUUUCUCUAAUGGUGCAUAGUUGAGUAGUGAACAAGAAUUGGCAUUGGUUGUAAAUGAACUUUUUUUUUUAAUUUGUUCUCCAAAAGAAAGAUGGUGUAUAAAUAAUUUCUCUUAAAAAUUAUAGCAUUGAAUUUUUCUAUUAGAGAAAAUUAAUUUUAAUAUUUAAUAUAUUUUCUUUUUCCUUGAUUGCAAUGAUUUUCUAAUGUGUUUAUAAAAUUAUUGUUUAAUUUGAGUUACUUUUAUUGUGUUUAAUGUACUUGGUAAAGAUAAAUUAAUGGCGACUUAAUAGAACUGGAUUUAAGUCAAUGUUACUUUGUCAAUCUUAAGCUAAAGAUUGAUGAGAGAUUAAAGAAAUAAUUUUUAAAACUAAAUAUAAUGAUGAAAAUUAUAUGUUGCACAAUUGUUUUAAAAAAAAUCUAAGCACAAUUAUGUAAAAUAAUAAAAUGAGCAUUAAUAUGUAAAAGAUCAAAAGUUUAAAGUAUACAUACGAUUAAAUUCAAGAAAUACCAUGAAGUAACAAAGACCGUUGGGGGCCGGGGGGGAGGGGAGUGGACUUAUACAAAUUCAUAGUGUUGAAAAAAAUUGAGGGUUGCAACAAUGAUUUUUCAAAAUUAUAUUGUAAGUUGAUAUUUAUUAAAAAAAAGCGGGGUCAAACGUAAUUUACCUCAAUAUUUUAAUGUUUUACUAUAAUAAAAUGCGACUCGUAACAACCACCUAAAAUGUUGGCAUACAGUAAAAACAUUUGGAAUAUAAAACCAAAAAAAUAGUGGAAGUAACUAUUAAAGAGCUGAACCCAUAAAUUGGAACGACUUACUGAUGAUUUGGUAAAUUUCAAUGGGAAUUAGAGACAUGAAAAAUAAACUUGAAACACACACCUACAUGUUGGAAUUCAAUAAAAAGUCUUGGUAUAUAGAACCAAAAAAUAGUGGGAAAAAAGUGGGAGAGUUAACCUGAAAGUUGGAAUUACGCAACGAUAGUUUGAUAAAUUCCAAUGGGAAAUAGGGACUAAGAAUUGAAUUUGAAACUUUCACCCAAAAUGUUGGAAUUCAUUAAAAAAAACCUGGAAUAUAUAACUAAAAGGUACUGGAAAUAAAAGUUGAAGAACUUAACACAAAAGUUGGAAUAACUUAUUAAGAAUUUGAUAAAUUCUAAUGACAAGUUGGAAUCUAAAAAAUAAACUUGAAACUUCUAUUCAAAAUAUUGGAAUUCAUUAAAAAAAGUAGAAAUAUAGAACUAAAAAGUGGUGGGAACAAGAGUUGAAGAACAUAACGCAAAAUUGGAAACGGCUCACCCACAAUUUGAUAAAUUCCAACUAUAAGUAGGGAUCCAAAAAGUGAAAUUGAAACAUACACCCGAAAUUUUAAAAUUCAAUAAAAAAAAGUAGAAAUAUAAAACAAAAAACUAGUAGGAAAAAGAGUUGAUGAAUUUAACCGAAAAGUACGAACACUUUACCAGGAAUUUGAUAAAUUUCAACAGGAAGUAGGGAUAUAAGAAGUGAACUUGAAACAUCCACCCAAAAUAUUGAAAUUUAAUAAAAAGGGCAGGAAUAAAUAACCAAAAAGUAGUGGGAAUAUGAAUUGAAGAGCCUAACCCAAAACUUGGAAUCACUUAGCAAGAAAUCGAUAUAUUUUAAAGAGAAGUAGGGAUCUAAAAAUGAACUUAAAAUAUCCAUCCAAAAUAUUGAAAUUCCAUAAAAAGAGUAGAAACAUAAAAGGAAAAACUGGUGGUAAUAACAGUUGAUAACUUUAACCUAAAAGUCGGAAUAACCUAACAAAGAAAUUGAUAAAUUUUAACAGGAAAUGAGGAUCUAAAAAGUGGACUUGAAACUCUCACCCAAAAUAUUAGAAUUCAAUAAAAGGAAUAGGAAUAUAGAAUCAAAAAGUAGUGGCAACAAGAGUUGAUGAACUCAACCCAAAAAUUGGAAUAAUGGACUAAGAAUUUGAUAAAUUCCAAUGCGAAGUAGGGCUCUAAAAGUAAACUAGAAAUAUCUACCGAAAAUGUUGAAACUUUAUAAAAAUAGUUGGAAUCUAGGACUUAAAAGUGGUGGGAAAAUGAGUUGGAAUAACUUACCAGAAAUUAGAUAAAGGCUAAUGGAAUGUAAGAAUGUUGAAAGUAAACUUAAAAUAUCCACGUAAAAAGUUGGAAUUUAAUGAAAAAAGUGAAAAUAUAGAACCAAAAACUGGUGGAAAAAUGAGUUGAAAUAACUUACCAAAAUUUAGAUAAAUCGUAACAAAAAAAUAGGAAUUUGAAAAGUAAACUCGAAACAUGCACUAUAAAUAUUGAAAUGUGACAAAAUAAGUGGGAAUAUAGUUAUUUUGUGACUUGUUUAUAAUACUUGUAUAGUUUCUUGUACUAUUUAUAAAUUUAAAAUUAUUAUAUUCUUUUGCUUCAUUUAAUUACAAUUUUAUCUUUUUUCCCUAUUUUUUUCAUAUUUUUUUCGCAUUAAAAACAAAUUAAAAUGUAAUAUUUAUUAUGUUAACCGGUUAAAAACCGGUUGUAGUGGUUGCGUGCAUGCGCUGUAUGAGAUACAGCGCUGCACUGUAUGAGAUACAGUGCUGCACUGUAGGUUGACUCCUUUUAUUUAUUGCUUCGUAGGAAACUUCAUGUGCAAGAUGACUUGUCACGUUCAAAUAUACGAAGUUUUGACCAUAAAGUUCAGAUAGUGAUGCAUCAUUGGAGUCUACGAACAAACUAAAAUUUAUAAAUGUUAGGUUUUACUCUGUCCGAAUAUAGAAAGUAUUAAAAGAGUGAGAUGAAGGGACUUUUUUUCUUGAUUUAAUGAUUUAAUUGACUUAAUUUUAAUCAAGUUAUUAAGUUUAUUUUUUAAUUUAAUUAAACUUUUU
rnacentral:lncRNA from 1 species